UAUGUUGUUGAACUUUUAACUGGAUAUGUU
rnacentral:piRNA from 1 species